rnacentral:rRNA from 1 species
UACACACGUGCUACAAUGGCAGGUACAGAGGGCUGCGAAGCCGCGAGGUGGAGCGAAUCCCAGAAAACCUGUCUCAGUCCGGAUUGAAGUCUGCAACUCGACUUCAUGAAGGCGGAAUCGCUAGUAACCGCGAAUCAGCAGGUCGCGGUGAAUACGUUCCCGGGCCUU